rnacentral:lncRNA from 1 species
CCUCAGGCUCCAUUGCUAAAAGCAGUUACAGGCUCGAGAUCUUAGACAGAUUUCUCAUACACCAAAACAUCUACUCUUGUAGAGCAGCACAAAGACUAAUAUAAAUAAAUUUGUGAGGCUUUUCAGGAAGACUUGAUUUUGAUUAAAUUGCUUGUUUCUGCUGUUAAACAAGGUCUCCUUUUUUAGCAGCUGACUAAAAUGCUCUCAGGUAAAAUCCUUCAAGAAUCCCAUAGCUAAUACUUAUUAAGAUUUAAUUAUUUUACAACUUAUCUCUUUCAGAUUAGUGCUCCCCCGAAUCUGCCACAUCCAAAGAAGCAAUACAAGGGCUGAAAUAUGAAUUCCAGUUCAGAAAUAUGGCCAUCCUGCACUUGACUUGAAGCUAAACAGUGUUUUUAGCAGUUAUGCCUCAGAGAGAAUACCAGAGAGUAAAAAAAGAACUUCGCUCCCAUGAAGGAAAGUAGAAGAAAGCCAAAAGUAGAAAUAACAAUAAAGUAAUGAAUAUUAACGCUACUGUUGAGGAU